rnacentral:lncRNA from 1 species
GUAAAUUCAAAAUUUUUUCUUACUUUUUAAUCACAUAUUCUCCAAAAAAAUACUAUUCAAAACAUAGUUUUUCCAUUUUAAAGGCCACCAAACAGGGGCUUAGAACAACGUUAAAAUUUUUGUUUUCCUUUUUUAUUUGUUACAAUUUCUCCCGAAGGAGGCGAAGUAUACCCAAAAUGCUCGUAAUUAUUAUUUAUAACAAUAGAUCAUAUGACCAAAAUUUUUGAUGAAACAUAUCAAAUUUGCCUCAUCAUUUUACAUUUCCUGAAACUCUAACAAAAACAAACACAUGAAACUACAUAUGAAAUAAGCUUUAUAUAGUCUGUCAUGCUAACAAAUAAUAAAAAAACUAAUCAAACCUUAAAACUAAUAACUAAUUUUUUCCUGGCAGGUUUCGAAUUCUUGAUAUCAGACUUGUUGAACAGAGGUUGGCAAAGAAUUAGGGAUGGGAAUUGCGAUGUGUGUGGGAUUUUCUUCUCCAGCCAAUAUUGCCACAAACUUCGGCCCGAUGUCAGUCUCGAUGAUUUCCGGCGUCUGCUUCGGCUUUUCUUCAUCAUCGUUCGAUACCGGUUUUCGAAACGAACAGGCCAGCAUGAUUAAUGCUACGGAGAUAAGUAACACCAUUAGGGCUAAUCCACCAAAAAGGUAGGGCAAUGGAGAAUUCCAAUCCCAAAAUGACCUUGAAAUCGUAGUGUUUGUACUUGUAGGCGUCAUCUCUCUCUCUCUCGGAAGGAUAUUGAUCUGAGGAACUUGCAGAAGAGAAUGAAUAAUGGGGUGUAGGAUUUAUAGAGUAAAUUUUACUGUACAACACUCGUCAGUGGCGCAGAAAGAAUGUACGUGGUGCUUAAUGAAUACAAAAU